rnacentral:misc_RNA from 1 species
AAAAAGGGGAGUUGCAAUUAAAUUGUUUGAUGACUGUUUUGGAGAUUACAGCUGUGGCAGAGUCCAAUGCUGAUCUUAGACGUGCAGCAUUUAAGACCAAUUGCCCCCCUGCUAUGGCAAUUUUGAAUCAGCUUUUAAGAGUAAUUCAGGAAGAAAGUGAUCCAAAUUUACAGAUUCCUGCUAUUAGGUCAAUUGGGUGCUUAGCUCGAACUUUCCC